GACGGGGGGGGCUAACGUUACUCAGCAUUACUGGGCGUAAAAGGCACGUAGACGGUUUUAGUUGAUUUGGUUUGAAAUUCUUGUUUUUGGAAGAAGUGAGCCAAAUACCAUAGAACUUUGGGUUCAUUAGGUGGGAUAUAGGAACUUCUAAAGUAGAGGUGCAAUUCAACAAUAUUGGAAGGAAUGCCAAAGGUGAAGACAUGUAUCUAGUUUGAACUGACGUUGAGGUGCGAAGGUAUGGGUCGCGAUCGGG
rnacentral:rRNA from 1 species